UUCCUGCGCACCGUCAUGGAGCUGCGUCCAACGGAGGACAACCUAGAGGAGGAAGGUGAUGAUUCGGCUCCACAACUGUUGAGCACUUGUGAGGAGGAGACGACAGCGGCCCAGCGGGAGACUCUUCCUGGACCCAGACCAGCACCUUCCGAGCC